CGAAAGAGCAAGGGUUUCUAGGCAAUGCGUCGUCAGCCUAGAGUUAGCCGAUCCUAAGUUGAGCGUUAACAUGACUCAUCGAAAGGGGAACUGGUUAAAAUUCCAGUGCUAUGGAAGUACACGAGGUAACUCAAAGCCUCAUAAUCGACAGUUCGGGGAAGGUCAAACAGAGUUGUCGCUCUGUUUAAAUGUAUAAUUCCAGGGAGUACCGUAAUGGUGAGAACUGGAAGAAAGCAUGAAUAGUCCUCCGUUAGGAGGAUUUGGCUGUACCCUGGAUUCCGUGAAAAUUUUAUGAGGAUGGAUCUUCCAUAUUCGUACCCAGAACCAACACAGGUGCUCAGGGUGAGUAGCCCAAGGCGUGUCGGGGAAAAUCUAAGCGAGGGAAUUCGGCAAAUUAGCUCCGUAUCUUAGGUAUAAGGAGUGCCUGCUGUGCUUUCGAAAGAUGGCGUGGCAGGUCGCAGUGACAAGGGGGUUCCGGCUGUUUAAUAAAAACAUAGGUAACCGCAAGCCCGUAAGGGUGUGUACGGUUAUUGAAUCCUGUCCAGUGGUGGUACCUGAAUCCUGAUUUCAACCGGGUGAAGGGCCGCUAAACGACGGGAGUAACUCUGACUCUCUCAAGGUAGCCAAAUGCCUUGUCGUGUAAGUUACGACGUGCAUGAAUGGAUCCACGAGGACCCCACUGUCCCCGCUUAGACCCCGGUGAACCCACCUGCUGGACGAACAGUCCAGCGACUUCCAGUGGAACAAGAAGACCCCGUGGAGCUUUACUGCAGUCAGUUGUUGGGACAUGGUUGCUUUUGCAGAGCGUAUGUAGGAGCCGAUGAGUGUGCAUCUCCGGGUGCGCAGGAGGCGUCAUUGGAACACUACACAUUUGUGACUAUUUCCCUUACCAAGACCUUAGCUGUCUGGGACAUCGGCUGAUGGGCAGUUCGGCUGGGGCGGCACCCCCUUGAAAAGGAAUCGAGGGGGCCCAAAGUCUAGCUCAGGAGGGACAGAAACCCUUCGUAGAGUGUAAAGGCAAAAGCUAGAUUGAUCGGAUAUCUAACAAUAGGAUUUCCGAAGGUGAAAGCCAGGCUUAACGAGCUAUCAGGUCCUUAUUUAUGAGGGUUGGUAGUGUCAGAAAAGUUACCCCGGGGAUAACAGGCUUGUCGCGGGCGAGAGUUCGCAUCGACCUCGCGGUUCGGUACCUCGAUGUCGACUCUUCCUAUCCUGGCCUUGCAUAAGGGGCCAAGGGUGAGGCUGCUCGCCUAUUAAAAGGGAUCGUGAGUUGGGUUUAGACCGUCGCGAGACAGGUCGGAUUUUAUUUACUGGGAGUGUUGGAAGUCUGAGGGGAAAGGGCAUUUAGUACGAGAGGAACAAUGCGCUGUGGCCUCUGGUGAACCGGUUGUCUGAUAAGGCACCGCCGGGUAGCUACGCCGCGUAGGAUAAGAGCUGAAAGCAUCUAAGCUCGAAGCCUCUCCUAAAAAGAGACUUCCGAACCUUCGGGUUGGAGAGCGCCGGUAGAAGACCGGUUUGAUGGAAAUGGGGUGUACGUGCCAAGGCUUAGGCCGAGGUAUUCAGCCCACAUUCCCCAAUAGCUCAAAAGACCAGCU
rnacentral:rRNA from 1 species